AGUGAACGCUGGCGGUAGGCCUAACACAUGCAAGUCGAACGGCAGCACAGUAAGAGCUUGCUCUUACGGGUGGCGAGUGGCGGACGGGUGAGGAAUACAUCGGAAUCUACUUUUUCGUGGGGGAUAACGUAGGGAAACUUACGCUAAUACCGCAGACGACCUACGGGUGAAAGCAUGGGACCUUAGGACCUCGCGCGAUCGAAUGAGGCGAGGUCGGAUUAGCUAGUUGGCGGGGUAAAGGCCCACCAAGGCGACGAUCCGUAGCUGGUCUGAGAGGAUGAUCAGCCACACUGGAACUGAGACACGGUCCAGACUCCUACGGGAGGCAGCAGUGGGGAAUAUUGGACAAUGGGCGCAAGCCUGAUCCAGCCAUACCGCGUGGGUGAAGAAGGCCUUCGGGUUGUAAAGCCCUUUUGUUGGGAAAGAAAAGCAGCAGGUUAAUACCCCGCUGUUCUGACGGUACCCAAAGAAUAAGCACCGGCUAACUUCGUG
rnacentral:rRNA from 1 species